UACGGAGGGUGCAAGCGUUAAUCGGAAUUACUGGGCGUAAAGCGCACGUAGGCGGCUUUGUAAGUUAGAGGUGAAAGCCCAGGGCUCAACCCUGGAAUUGCCUUUAAGACUGCAUCGCUUGAACAUCGGAGAGGUAAGUGGAAUUCCGAGUGUAGAGGUGAAAUUCGUAGAUAUUCGGAAGAACACCAGUGGCGAAGGCGACUUACUGGACGAUUGUUGACGCUGAGGUGCGAAAGCGUGGGGAGCAAACAGG
rnacentral:rRNA from 1 species